rnacentral:lncRNA from 1 species
AUAUAAAUCAUGAAAUGCUUAGAUUUUCAUGUCAUGCUUCGUGAAGUUGUUACAACUUCCAUCUUUGAGGGCAAAUACAAAUUUCCAACUGCCCAAGUGGAAUGACCAUAUCAGAUAGAGAUAUGACAAUUUGCUCAGGUCUAUUUCCAGUAAGCUAAACAAUGGUACGAUCUAUGACCAUGACCGUACUAGCCAUAAUGGCCCUAACAGAUAUCUACAGUCAUAACAUUAGUUAGACAC